rnacentral:lncRNA from 10 species
GCCACCCUCGUAUGUACCCACCACGGCCCAGUCUGCCACCUUCCUCCAGGCAGAGCCUCCCACAGCUGCUGGAGCCUCCCCUAGGAGCUCCACUGGGGAGAAGCAGAGGUCCUCUCCUACCCCUUAGCCCUGGGGUCUGGAAUUCAACCCUCCCCCACUCUGUUCCCAGUUGCCCUCUGUUUGACAAGAGGAGCUUGGAAACCACCUCGAUCCAGUCCUCAAACUCCCCUUCCCCUGUGCCGCUCUGAAUUCCAGGCUAUCCCCACGAUAUAGCCAAAGCACCCUGGCUUGCUUUGAAAGUGUCUGGGGAGUUUUUGAUCCCCUGAAAAAAAAAGGCAUUUAUUAUCAGAGACUGUUUGUACCAUAUUUUAGUGUCCUCAAGAGACAAAGAGAAUUCUCUCUGCAGUUGAGUAAGCUUCAAAAUAGAAAAUCGGAGGGUGGGGUAGGUGACGGCCAAAAAGCAAUCAUUUAUCAACCAGCGGGGAAGCAGGGACCGUAAACCUCUUUGGUGGCUGCAGGUUUCAUCACAGCCUGACUUAUGCACCUGACUCUGGAGAGGAGGUGAGAAUGGGGUGUGCAGAAGUCAGUGGGUCCCGCAGUCUUCCCUCCUUCAGCGUUGGUGGCCACAGUCUGUCUGUGGUCACUUGCCCCCACAGCCCCCUGCUCUGCCUUCCAUUUAUCGAGACCUUUCCCUUGCAUUUGCGGAGGGGGAAGAAGCAGAGGUUAGGUUGCUGACAUUCUGCACACCCCACAACUCCCCAGAGAAAUCCUGGGGCUGAUCAGUAGAAUCCAGCCACCUUUCACUGGCAGAAGGCACAGUGUUUUUCUCCCUGGAGGUUUUUAACCUGUUACUUCAUGUAAGCCUCCUAUUGUCAAAUAGAGAGAAACUGAGGGGCUUUGGAAGCAAACAGACUUGGGAAAUUCUUGGCAAAUUCUUAACUCUAUCUCUUUGUGGGUGACCUGGGAUAUGUUCCCGGUGUCCUCAGCCUCUGAGUGCUCUUGGAAGAUUAAAUGGGAUAAACCAUGUGGAGUGACCAGUGCGAGGCCCAGCAUGUUCUAGAAGCUCAAAGGAAUGGCUACCACAAGUCAAGCCUAUUCUAGAUACCGAGGAAGUUGUCCACAGAGGGAAAAAAUUAUACCAAGAAGCAAGAGAGCCUGUUUUCUGACCCCCUCUCAGUCACUUGGUAAUUAUUAUUCCUCAAUCUUCACAUCUGAGGAUAUAACUAUUUUACCUGACUGAAGACAGAAGGGGUAUACCAGAUGGUUUCACCAAGAUCCAUCAAAUUCUAGUCAAAGAUUCUUCCAUUUUAAUUAAGCCCAUUGCUUCCUGUUUGAUCUUCUAAGGGCAGAGAAUAACAAUGUAAGCUCUGACCAUUUAAAAAAAUCAUCAUUCCUGCUCUAAUCAUCUCAAACCAUUCAUUCACUGGUCAUCCCGGGAAGGUCAACAGCAAUCUCCGAAGAGUCUGGUACCACGUCCUCCUCACAAGUCACUGCUAUAAGACUGACACUUAUCAAAAUGUCUGCCCAUCUCCACAGAGACGCUCCUAAUGUGCCUUGUUUCUGCUUUAUGACAAUGACCUUGGUUACAGCCAGUUGGUCCAGGAAUAGGCACCUGACCCAGUCUGGGCCAAUCUGGCCCCCUCUCUUGGGAAUGGUGACCAAAAGAGUCUGUCUCAGCAGAAACUGGAAAUGUAACAUAAACAGUCAUAAGCCAGGGGCCUGCUGGCAGUGCCAUGGGGGCUAAAGAACAGAAAAGGCUAGUCUACAAAGAAAGAAGAGAAUGAAAUUGAUGUCCAAGAAAACUGGAUUCAAGACACCAGAGAGAAAAUGAGCCAACCCAUUCACACUUCCAGGCCCUUUCUGAGGCAUGACAAUGUGGCAGAAUGUAUUUUCCAAUAUUUUCCAUCCCAUACGCUCUUCCAGAACCUUGCCACUGCAUCAAAAGAUGGUGUCUAUAUCCCUUCCGCCUGAAACGGUGAGCCUUUGUGACUGCUCACACUUCUAGGAUGUGGCAGAAGUGACGCUGUGUGAUUGCUGAGGCUAGAUCAUAAAAGGCAACACAGCUUGCACACAGCUCUAUCUCUUUGGACACUCAUCCUUGGAAUGGCAGCCACCAUGCUCUGAGGAAGCACAGGUCACAUGGAGCGCCCCACUUGGAGACAAAUGGAGGCCCCCCAGCCCUCAGUGCUGGCUGAGCAACCAGCAGACAGCCAGCACCAACCUGCCACCAGAAGGCUGGAAACUUUUCAAAGAAGAAGAGGGUGAGUUUCUCUGACCAUAUUAGCCAUGAGCAGCCACAGUGAAAGAAUUAAUGAAUUAGUUGCCUUUGCUUAUCUUUGCCCUGGACUUCAGACCUCCUUCAGGAGCAAUGGAGGGAUCCAAAAGCCAACACUGGAAGAUGUGGAUGGUGCUUCCAGCUCAAGGACGUGGCCUCCAGCAAGUCCCUGAACAUCUUUAAGCCCUCACCUGUCAAACAGGGUUGGUGAUUACUUUUUUUUUUUUUUUUUGAGAUGGAGUCUCACUCUGCCUCCUAGGCUGGAGUGUGGUGGUGUGAUCCAGGCUCACUGCAACCUCCACCUCCCAGGUUCAAGCAAUUCUCCUGCUUCAGCACCACCCCCACCACCCCCACCCACCCCACCAAGCAGCUGGGAUUACAGGCAUGUGCUACCACGCCUGGCUAACUUUUAUAUUUUUUUAAGUAGAAACGGGUUUUUGCCAUGUUGGCCAGGCUGGUCUUGAACUCCUGACCUCAAGCAAUCCACCCACCUUGGCCUCCCAAAGUGCUGGGAUUAUAGGCAUGAGCCACCACGCCUAGCCAAUGAUCACAUUUUCCUACCUAACUCCCUGGGCUGCUGGGAUAGCAGAUGAGAAUGGGUGAGAGGUUCUUUGGAAAGUGAAGGUGGUGCUGUCCAGCAGCUAUGUCAGACUGCUAUGGUCUGAGUGUUUGUGUCCCACUACCCUGAGACAGAUAUGUUGAAAUCCCAAGCCGCAAUGUGAUGGUAUUCACCUUUGGGAAGUGAUUAGGUCAUGAGGGCUCUGCUUCAUGGGGUUAGUGCCCUUAUGAAAGAGGCCCAAGCGGGCCGGGCGCGGUGGCUCAUGCCUAUAAUUGCAGCACUUUGGGAGGCCAAGGCGGGCGGAUCACCUGAGGUCAGAAGUUUGAGACCAGCCUAACCGACAUGGAGAAACAACGUCUCUACUAAAAAUACAAAAUUAGCCGGGCGUGGUGGCGCAUGCCUGUAAUCCUAGCUACUCGGGAGGCUGAGGCAGGAGAAUCACUUGAACCCAGGUGGCACAGGUUGCGGCGAGCCGAGAUUCCACCAUUGCACUCCAGCCAGGGCAACAAGAGUGAAACUCUGUCUCAAAAAGAAAGAAAAAGAAAAAGAAAGAGGCCCAAGAGAGCUCAUUCACUCCUUUCAUCACAUGAGGACACAGCAAAAUGAUGGCUGUCUAUGAACCAGGAAGCAGGUCCUCACCAGACACCGGAUCUGCUGAUGUCUUGACAUUGGGCUUCCCAGCCUCCAGCACUGUGAGAAAUAAAUGUCUGAUGUUUAGAAGCCACCCAGUUUAUGGUAUUUUGUUAUAGUGGCCCGAAUGGUCUAAGACAGGCACCCAGUAGAAGGCAGCCCCUGUGUGUGGGUAGGUUCCACACAAAGGCAAGCCUAGCCCCAAGGUCGCCACCAACAAACCCCAGAGCCAUUUUUCCAUGGGGUCUGAAAACUGCACCAUUAGAUGCUGCUUAGUUUAGGACUUUAUAUUGGGUUGAAU